CCACUGAUUUCAUCAAGUCAUGUAAAGGACUAGAGACUAGCUGGUCCAACCGACACAUCGUAAAUCCUCCCACUGACUUCACUAAGUCAUGAGAAGGACUAAAGACAAGUCGAUCCAACCGACAAGUCGAUCCAGAGAAUCUAAAUCAGUCAUACUGAUUAACCUUGACAACAUGGGUCAACUCGAGUCACCUAACGAUCUAAUCAACC
rnacentral:lncRNA from 1 species